AAGGCUACAUUCCAAAAACCAUCGAAAAAAAAGUGUCGCAACUAUAAUGAACACGACUGUACAUUGGAUUCGACAUAAAAAACGUAUGGAAGAUGUCGAUAAUUUUGAAAAGAAAAUGUUAAGACUCAUCUCCACGAUGCUAAAACUCGGUGCAACUUUUCGGGCUGAGAACUGUGUGAUCAAUUAGCUUGUCAUUUUUCCGUAAAAGCUAAACAUUGAUUGGUUAUAAUCUUUUCGAUCUGAGUACUCGGACCAAUUUCUAGCCAUUUCUAGCAUCGCGGGCUUUUAUAAAUAAACUUUUGCAUAGUAAUCAAAGAAUAUCGUAAUAUUCCGUUUGUUUUCUGU